rnacentral:rRNA from 1 species
UACGAAGGGGGCUAGUGUUGUUCGGAAUUACUGGGCGUAAAGCGCACGCGGGUGGAUUUAUAAGUCAGGGGUGAAAUCCCGGGGAUCAACCUCGGAAUUGCCUUUGAUACUGUCUAUCUUGAGUCCGGGAGAGGUGAGUGGAAUUCCUAGUGUAGAGGUGGAAUUCGUAGAUAUUAGGAAGAACACCAGUGGCGAAGGCGGCUCCCUGGCCCGGUACUGACGCUCAUGUGCGAAAGCGUGGGGAGCAAACAGG